UUGACAUGCAGAGAACCUUUUCCAGAGAUGGAGUUUGGUGCCGUUCGGGAACUCUGACACAGGUGCUGCAUGGCUGUCGUCAGCUCGUGUCGUGAGAUGGUUGGGUUAAGUCCCGUAACGAGCGCAACCUUGUCCUUAGUUACCAGCACGUUAUGGUGGGCACUCUAAGGAGACUGCCGGUGACAAACCGGAGGAAGGUGGGGAUGACGUCAAGUCAUCAUGGCCCUUACGGCCUGGGCUACACACGUGCUACAAUGGCCGAUACAAAGGGCAGCGACACUGCGAAGUGAAGCCAAUCCCGUAAAAUCGGUCUCAGUCCGGAUUGGAGCCUGCAACUCGACUCCAUGAAGUUGGAAUCGCUAGUAAUCGUGGAUCAGCAUGCCACGGUGAAUACGUUCCCGGGCCUU
rnacentral:rRNA from 1 species